UAUUACAUUUUAAUAUUGCUGCUGCAGCAUUAAGGAGCACAUUAUCAUCUACAAAUAUUUAUUAUGCAUCUAAUUUGUACAAGGUGAAAGAUGUGUGGAAAUUUAUAUUGAAGUAGUCUUUCAUAAAUAUUAAUGCUUUAAUGUUUUUAUAUUUUGUAUUACUCUAUUUUUAUCUCCUAAUGUAUUCUAUAUGUAAUAUAGAAUUUUAAAAUAUUUUAAUAUAAUUUUAAAAUGUUUCACUGGUCACCGUCACACUUUGCUGGUGUGUACAUUUGUAUAACACCUUUGAAGGGUAAUUUGGCAAUACAGUGUGCUUUGUUGGAUCUAAAAUGUCAUUGAUCUUGUAGGGGCAGCAAAAUUCCACCUCCAUCUUCUUAGCUUCCCUGCUGAGUCCAAGAAUUAAGCUGACAUAAGACAGAUCAACAGGAGAAAAGCAUACAAAAUUACUACCACAAGUUUUAGGUGGCAUUGGAGGCAUUAUAAAGAAACAGAGACCUGAAGAAACAUAGUCACUUACAUAUGGAUAAAGAAUAAUGCAAGAGUAUGUUCCUAAGAAGGUGCAAAAGAAGUAGUCCACCUCAAGAUCCAAAGUUAUUCCCAAAAAUAGCCUAAGAAAGCCAAGACCUUCAUUUUUAACAAGGUAUGGAAGAUUGAGACAGUUCCCUGAGAGAUGACGUGGUAAGUCACACUAAGAGACACUUUGUGUUUUCGAUGCCUCGCCAGAAGGCUAGCUGAGCUGCCUGACGCAAGCCUAAAAAUUCGCACCCCCAAUGGCUGGCAGAGACCAGAGUAAAUAUUUUCACUGGUCACAAAGCUGAGCUCUCAAAACAUAAAAGAAGAUGAAAGGAGAAUCUUACUGUGAUUUUGCUCCUUAUAAUAAAUAAUACAAAAGAGAGACAAGGAAAACAAGGAUCAUUCCUGAGAAUGUGGAUCGGUGACCAAAAUUUGGCCAGAACCAAAUUCAAAAGGGUCACAAUUUAAAGAACCAAUUGUUACAGACAUUUUUAUUCUGCCAAUCUGAAUUUGGAAAGGAAGGAAUGGGAAAAUGUUUUUGUUUUCCUCUCUCAACCAAGCACUAUAGGCAGAGACCCAGGAAAACUGACUUUGGUAAGAAUUCCUGCCUUCUGCCAGCUUUUGUCAGUUCUCCCAGGAUUACGUCCUCAGGCUCCAGAGCAAGUGGAGCAACCCAGUCUUUGUUUGAGAUAGGGGUCUUGCUGAGUGGCCCAGACUGGUCUUGAUCUGCUAGGCUUAAGUAAUCCUCCCACCUCAGCCUCCUCAGUAGGCAUCCCUGUCUUUUAGAUUUCCAAAUUUAAUCCAAGAAACUGUAGAGAGAGAAAAACUCCACCUCCAUCCUCUUAGGAUCCUGGCUGAGUCUGAAAAUUAAAUUGACAUAAAGUAUAUCAAUAGAAGAAAAGCUUACAAAUCUAUUUAAUACAAGUUUUAUAUUGCAUGGUCACCUUCAUAAAGAAAUGAAGACCUGAAGAAGGAGUUAAGUGUCAGUUACUUAACAUACUGAAUUGGACAAAGAAUAGUAAAUUGUGAAGACACAGCUAAAUUAUUGGGGGGGGGGUGGCGCUUAAAAUAUAAGAAUUAUUUUAACAGGUCUGUAUAGAAUUCUCUUGGUCUUGCUUCUUGUCCUUGAGGAUAAGGAUGUUGCAUCCUUCACAUGGGAAUUUCAUCUUCUGCUUUUAAGAAACAACACAGAGGUCGGAGUGAUCUUUUUGUAACUACUGUUUUUCAAAUGCCUUUCACCUAAAUAGUCAAUAGUCAGAAUGUCAUAUUUUUUAACUCCUUCAAUCCUAAGAUGCAACGUUAUCACUAAGGAAGAAAUAAAGCUGCCUAUACA